GAUGAACGCUGGCGGCGUGCCUAAUACAUGCAAGUCGAGCGAACGGACGAGAAGCUUGCUUCUCUGAUGUUAGCGGCGGACGGGUGAGUAACACGUGGAUAACCUACCUAUAAGACUGGGAUAACUUCGGGAAACCGUAGCUAAUACCGGAUAAUAUUUUGAACCGCAUGGUUCAAAAGUGAAAGACGGUCUUGCUGUCACUUAUAGAUGGAUCCGCGCUGCAUUAGCUAGUUGGUAAGGUAACGGCUUACCAAGGCAACGAUGCAUAGCCGACCUGAGAGGGUGAUCGGCCACACUGGAACUGAGACACGGUCCAGACUCCUGCGGGAGGCAGCAGUAGGGAAUCUUCCGCAAUGGGCGAAAGCCUGACGGAGCAACGCCGCGUGAGUGAUGAAGGUCUUCGGAUCGUAAAACUCUGUUAUUAGGGAAGAACAUAUGUGUAAGUAACUGUGCACAUCUUGACAGUACCUAAUCAGAAAGCCACGGCUAACUACGUG
rnacentral:rRNA from 1 species